AAGACUAUACUUUCAGGGUCAUUUUGUAUGUGACUAGAGAAUUGGGCUGAAAGUGGCAAGAGUAACCACGAGGAGGGCUGGACCCCUCUUCUGAGCUGAAGCCGGUUAUGGUGCUGCUUCUCAGCAGCUGUCACUUGUCAUUGAUGAUCGUUCUUCCCUCCCUUUGGGUAGGGUGAGAGGAAGGGAACGCAGGCUGAGUGGC
rnacentral:snoRNA from 1 species